CGUUUUGUUGCCAAGAUCGUGCGGUGCUGGGGAACCUAGUAGGGAACCAAUCCUAGAAGGCGGACCAUCCGGAGGACCCCCAGAUUCACAACUAAAGUGUCCUGCGCUGGAGCUCUGGCCACGCAGCAGGCGGCUUCCCAGAAGCGGUUUCCAUUGACGUUUCGUCGAUACCACCGUCAAAUCUGCAUCGUCCACUAACUUCCGGAAAACCACCGUGACCGGUACGAUCCUUAGUCCAUCAACGGCCAGACCGAGCUGCAGCCCCAGCCACUGUUUUUGCUGUACCGUAACGAGCGGUCUCCGAUCACGAAUCCAAGGCUUCUGUGAAUGUCGUGACGAGUGCCUUUCCGGGACUGGACAUGGGAAAGGCCGGUGCAAAUGGAAAUGUAAAAACGUGAACAUUUUCACCGGGAAGCAGCUUCCUUCCCAACAGCGGCGAUCAACGGCGUUCAGCCGGCGCCCCAGCAGCAGCUGGACCCAACGCAAAGUGUGGUCAAUUUCUUCGCAGCCACAAAGCAACUGGCCGCCUCCGAAUUUCCACUGUUCCAGAUGCUGAUGUCCAUUCCGGUGCACACGCUCGAUCAGAUCGAGAAGUAGCAGCGGGCCACGACGCCGCUGAAGGAUUCCGCCAUCGUGACCGGGAAGCUAACGACCGAGCUCAGCGUUCUGGAAAAGACCUUCAAGUUGAUGGACACUCCCAUCAGUAGCGGACCGGCGCUGGCUCAGGAGCUUCCUCGCAGGCAACGUUUCUCAGUUCCACCAAUGUGGCCACGGUUCGGAACAACAAUCAGCUGAUGCUUAAAACAAAGCGCCAAUAAACCGGCCCUAAUGCCACCGACAAUGGUAACUCGGUGGCCGAAAUGCUGGUCGAGUCCAACAGCGCCAAAACAAUCACCACGCGGCGGCGGCCACAAUGGAUUCUUCCCGAUGGCGAUGGUUCACCAGCUAGUGGAAAACACACGAAAGAACGAACUCAUUCUUUAGAAAAUACAACGCUAAUUAUUCUGUAUUUUUAAUAUAUAUUGUUUGUUGAA